CCUUUUGUAUAAUGGGUCAGCGACUUAUAUUCUGUAGCAAGGUUAACCGAAUAGGGGAGCCGAAGGGAAACCGAGUCUUAACUGGGCGUUAAGUUGCAGGGUAUAGACCCGAAACCCGGUGAUCUAGCCAUGGGCAGGUUGAAGGUUGGGUAACACUAACUGGAGGACCGAACCGACUAAUGUUGAAAAAUUAGCGGAUGACUUGUGGCUGGGGGUGAAAGGCCAAUCAAACCGGGAGAUAGCUGGUUCUCCCCGAAAGCUAUUUAGGUAGCGCCUCGUGAAUUCAUCUCCGGGGGUAGAGCACUGUUUCGGCAAGGGGGUCAUCCCGACUUACCAACCCGAUGCAAACUGCGAAUACCGGAGAAUGUUAUCACGGGAGACACACGGCGGGUGCUAACGUCCGUCGUGAAGAGGGAAACAACCCAGACCGCCAGCUAAGGUCCCAAAGUCAUGGUUAAGUGGGAAACGAUGUGGGAAGGCCCAGACAGCCAGGAUGUUGGCUUAGAAGCAGCCAUCAUUUAAAGAAAGCGUAA
rnacentral:rRNA from 1 species